GGCCGCGAAUUCGCCCUUAGAGUUUGAUCCUGGCUCAGAAUUAAUGAUGGCGGCGCGCUUAACACAUGCAAGUCGGACGAGAAAGUGAGCAAUCCAUGAGUAAAGUGGCGUACGGGUGAGUAACACGUGGGUAAUCUACCUUUUGGUGGGGAAUAACCCUGGGAAACCGGGGCUAAUACCGCAUAAGCUCGAAAGAGGAAAGGAGCAAUUCGCCGAAAGAGGAGCCCGCGGCUGAUUAGCUAGUUGGUGAGGUAAAGGCUCACCAAGGCGAUGAUCGGUAGCCGGCCUGAGAGGGCACACGGCCACACUGGCACUGAAACACGGGCCAGACUCCUACGGGAGGCAGCAGUGGGGAAUCUUGCACAAUGGGGGAAACCCUGAUGCAGCGACGCCGCGUGAGUGAUGAAGCCCUUCGGGGUGUAAAGCUCUUUCGGCAGGGACGAUAAUGACGGUACCUGAAGAAGAAGCUGCGGCUAACUACGUGCCAGCAGCCGCGGUAAUACGUAGGCAGCGAGCGUUGUUCGGAGUUACUGGGCGUAAAGAGUGCGUAGGCGGUUUUCUAAGUUUGGUGUGAAAUCUCCCGGCUUAACUGGGAGGGUGCGCCGAAGACUGGAAGGCUAGAGUAUGGGAGAGGUAAGCGGAAUUCCUGGUGUAGCGGUGAAAUGCGUAGAUAUCAGGAGGAACACCUGCGGUGUAGACGGCUUACUGGACCAUAACUGACGCUGAGGCACGAAAGCGUGGGUAGCAAACAGGAUUAGAUACCCUGGUAGUCCACGCCCUAAACGAUGCAUACUUGGUGU
rnacentral:rRNA from 1 species